rnacentral:rRNA from 1 species
AAUGGGCGCAAGCCUGAUCCAGCCACGCCGCGUGAGUGAUGAAGGCCUUCGGGUCGUAAAGCUCUGUGGGGAGGGACGAACCGCUGAUGGUUAAUACCCAGCAGCAUGACGGUACCUCCUUAGCAAGCACCGGCUAACUUCGUGCCAGCAGCCGCGGUAAUACGAAGGGUNCAAACGUUGCUCGGAAUUAUUGGGCGUAAAGCGCACGUAGGCGGCCUGUCAAGUCGGAUGUGAAAUCCCUCGGCUCAACCAAGGAAGUGCAUCCGAAACUGUCAGGCUUGAGUACCAAAGAGGAUCGCGGAAUUCUCGGUGUAGAGGUGAAAUUCGUAGAUAUCGGGAGGAACACCAGUGGCGAAGGCGGCGAUCUGGGUGGAUACUGACGCUGAGGUGCGAAAGCGUGGGGAGCAAA